UUUACACAAACUUUUUAAAAGGGCCAGAAGUGCAACUGAGAUUUCUCUCCUCUUCUCCCCCCCCACUUCCCUGUGUGCGCGCCUGCGUGUGUAUUUGUGGUUGUGUGCGUGCGCGCGAGAGACAGCACGCUAGACACAGACCUAGUAUGAGGAGAGUGACUGAGCGUGUAAGGGGGGGGGAGAGAGAGAGAGAGAGAGAGAGCAGCCACGCGCCUGUGCGAAACUCUACUCCAGAAAGGGGUGGGAAAGAGACAUCUCUGCCCGUUAUAUUAGAGGGGGAUGGAGAAAGGACGCAUUCUGUGCUGGAAGCUUCAGUAUCUGCAUAAAAGUAAAAUAUUGACAGCAACUAACAGUGGCCCUUGAAGACUUUUUACCUCAAAAUGCCAAGAUGAAACUGAUGCUUCAAUAUGUGUACAGUAUCUAGGUAUGUGUCUAAAGUACAAACCCUUCACAAUAAAGGCCUUCAAAUGGAUUGAAAAGUUGGGAUUAAGAGCAUCAUCUGGGGAAGGUGUGUCAAAAUGUUCAGAUAGAGCAUGAGUGUCAAACUUGAUCGCUUCACAUGACAUAUUGUGAUGUAUUGCAACUAUUUUUGCCUUUAUAGAGCCGAGGUGGGUAUGGCUUGCACUUGAUGCAUCUGGUCUGCUGGCUGCCAGUUUGACACCCCUGAGAUAGAGGUCACAGCAGUGCAACCCAUUUGUAUGUGUGUCAAAACACAUGCAUUUCCAAGGGUGUAGGGUUUGCAUCAGUUCCAUGACUGGCUUUUUUUUUUUUUUAACACUUCCUGAGAGAUACCACUGGAGAGUAUAUAUAUGUUUUAACAUAUAAAUCAGGCUGCACAACUUAACAGCACUUCAGUUUCUUGCUUUUCAUUUACAGAAAUAGAAUACUGUAUACAAAAUUAUUUGCCUACAUUCUGUUGUAAUGAAAUUAUACAAAAAUGAGGUCAAGCAAAAUAUUUAGAACGAAAUGUUUUUGAAAGAAAGUCCAUUGGAAUUCCUAGGUAACUAUGAUAAUUUGAACCAAGGAAUCAAUUCAAUGUCUUAUUUGUUUAUUUGCCUAUUUAAUACAUUUAUAUGGCUGCCUAUUUCAUAUGCAUGAUUCUGUGCAGUUAACAUGUAUGCUGACACCCAUUCCUUCUCCCUCCUAUGUAGUGUCCCUAUACAUGUCCCACAUCUUCUCUAGCGUCUCUGCAACUCUGCAGAUGGGAAGAUGGGUAGAUGCCAUAAAGUAUUUACCCCGCCAGAAGCAUUGAUUCUGCUCUGGAUAAAUAUACUUAGAAAUAUCUUCAAAUAUUCCAGUAAUACAAAAUGACAGUAAUUUUACUGGCACCAUUGUUUUCUAAGUACCCAGUCCUAAAUCCAUUUACAUUAAAAUCCCAUUUGUGUAAAUGAUAUUAAUUUCUAAGAAAGUGCAUUUAGGAAUUCUGCCUAAGUGCUUACUAAGCCCACUGGAAUAAAAAGCCUGCAAAGAUGCAAAUCAACUACUAAAUUUCUUAUGCUACACAUAUAGCAGUAAUUUCACCGUGAACAUAUCCAACACCUAAAUACAAGCAUAUAUUUUCUUUUGUGUACUGCCCCUUUCACAAACAUUAUUCAAUAAAUGCAAGUAUAACUGAACAUAGUCAAUAUUAGUUACUAAUGAAUACAUCCUAGCAACUCUAACAUAUGUUUGUAAGGUUUAAUUUCAGCCUCAUUUUUUUCUCCAGUCCUGGCUAGUUUAUUAUUCUAGAAAAAUAUAUUUUGAAGUAGAUUGACCCACUGUACUCACUAUUUAUUGGACAUACUGCUGUGGGAUCAUUUACACAUACGGUAAACCAUAAAUUAUGUUUAUGCCACAAUUAUUGGGUUCACUUAUCAUGUAAGCUAAAAUCAGCCUAAAAGUAUAUAUCAAAUCAAAUGAAAUCGUUAUUAUGGUCAAAGACUAGCAUAAGCCCAAAAGUAUAUUCAUUCAAUAAGAUGAAAACACAAAUUAGGGUAAGGAAUGUAUUAUUCACAAGUGAACAGUGGGAAUUAACACAAUCUGAGUUCAGCUGAUAAUGCAGAAUCACCUAUUAUAACUGCAUCUUACCUGAAACCUUACAACAGAGCAAAAUUACUAGGAAGGGGAAUUGAAGGAGAAAGUAACAGAUAAGAAAUUACUCAACACUUUCUUUCCCUUACUGUCCUUCUGCUUCCAAAGAACUUACCUAUCAUACUGCUUUGUAAUUAAGAACACACACACACACACAUAUACACAUAUGUACACAUGCAUGUGUGCAUGCAUGCAUGUUACAUUUAGUUCAGUGCUUAUUUGGAAAGUGUAAGACAAUAACACACAUGAAUCAACUGAGACACAUCUGUUUUAUGUGCUAAAUAGAAUAUGAUAUUUACUAGUAAUAAUCAGGAUGGUUGGGUUUAUACUUUUGAGCACAAUCAGCUUUCAAAGUUGUUGUAAGAAGGCACUUUAGUAUGUCCAAUCUGCCCUGAUUCUUCAACAUAUUCAUUUAUAGCUGCUAUAAUUGAUCCAGGCAUGAUAACUGUUGCCAAGAAAAGCAUUAAUAUACAAUUUUUUGAAUGAGCAUAACAAUCUAUGACCUGGUUUCCAUGUUGUGCUAAGGCAUGAUUUGUUUAGCAAUGGUUUAGAAAAUAAAUUACAACUGGGUUAUUAAAAACCCUAACUCCAAGAUUCACCCAUUAGAUUUAGCCAAACUAAAUAAAUACGUGGUGAUUUACUAUAUGAACUCAGCCAGAGAAUUAUCAUACACGCCACAUUAUGAAUUUACACUGCUGGGUAAGCAUAUAUUAUUCUAUAUAAGUGUAAGCUGUAAUAACUUAAGUAGCAGCUUUAUCUUCAUAAUGAAUGAGACAAGCAGGCUCAUCAUUCAUUUUUAUCCACCAUCUAUUGGAGAAAGCAUAAUUUUCAAGGGGUAACUAAGAGUCUGUGACUGUUGUAGGAAGGAUAAGUGGUGAAAGGCUUCUGAAGAAUACACCACCAUAAGGUUUUUAAAUUACGCUUUUUUUUUUUUUUGCUUCCUGGAUAGCCUUAAUCUUGGAAGUUUGUAUGUCCCCAGUGUAUUUGCUUGUGCUGGUCUUUCAGGAGAUCAGACUGUAACCUGAAAAGGGAUAAAACUCUUCACUCUUUUCAGUUACUUUGUACAGAUAAACUCAGUGCAUCAUCUGCAUAUAAAGACAAUUUAUAGUGCAUUGUGAAUAAAGCUUCUAAAUUGAAGACAUUUUUGUCUUACAAUUUAACAGCUUUAUCUACCCACAAUGUACCAUAAAUUGCAAUAUAUUUAAAAUCAGUUGUUCUAAGUCAUAAAUUUAGGUUGCAAAUGUAAACAUUUUGAAUAGUGCAGAAGAUACAUUGUAAGCUAUUCAUUCACUUCUUUCUUUGGGUAAUUUAAAUUAACAAUUGUUCAUUUAUAGUUUUUUUAAAAAAACAGUAAGUGGGAUCAGUAGCUUAGUGAUUAAAUCUAUCAAUAGUGAUGCUGUUAAAUAGUAUCUUGGAAUCUAAAAGAAUGGGAAUGUGUGGUUUCAGUUCUGAAAUACAGUUCCUGUAUUUCAUUGGUAGUUUGUGGCGAUCAAUUUACUGAAGUUCCCUGUUCACAGUUGGAUCUUUCAUUGUUUAUUAGGCUGCUUGGCAAUUAUGUCAUAAAACAGAUCACUAGGUGGCAGUACAAAGCCUCCUCUGUAAAGAGUUAAGUUAUGGAAAAAUUUGGACACAAUUAACGCAAGGUAUUUUUUCCCUGAGUUAUUGAACAGAAUUCAGUUACAUGUUUCUGACAUGCAAAUGUUUUUACAAACACUUUCUUAAGAGAAAAUACUCUAAUUAAUUCAAGGGUUUGUCUAGAUGUAAGUAACUCACUUCAUUUUCUGCAAAACAAUAGCACUUAUCAAUUAUGAUAAAACAUAAAAUUCUGUAAAAGGGUCAAUCUUCAACCUAUCUUUUGAUACUGAGAUGUAAUAAUAAUAAUAAUAAUAAUACACCCCAGACUUAACAAUUGUCAUAAGAAAGACAAAAAAGUCUGGAUAGUGGACGUGGCAGUGCCUGGAGACAGCAGAAUAGACGAGAAA